rnacentral:misc_RNA from 1 species
UUUCCGUAGGUGAACCUGCGGAAGGAUCAUUCAUAAUAAGUGUUUUAUGGCACUUUUUUAAAUCCAUAUCCACCUUGUGUGCAAUGUCAGGGUUGAUUUUUCUCUCGAGCGGAUCAGCCCCAAACAUCAACUAUAUCUCAACUCUUUGUCUGAAAAAUAUUAUGAAUAAAACAAUUCAAAAUACAACUUUCAACAACGGAUCUCUUGGCUCUC